UACGUAGGGGGCUAGCGUUGUCCGGAAUCAUUGGGCGUAAAGCGCGUGUAGGCGGCCCGGUAAGUCCGCUGUGAAAGUCGGGGGCUCAACCCUCGAAUGCCGGUGGAUACUGUCGGGCUAGAGUGCGGAAGAGGCGAGUGGAAUUCCAGGUGUAGCGGUGAAAUGCGUAGAUAUCUGGAGGAACACCGGUGGCGAAGGCGGCAUCCUGGACCGAUACUGACGCUGAGGAGCGAAAGCCAGGGGAGCAAACGGG
rnacentral:rRNA from 1 species